rnacentral:rRNA from 1 species
GCUUAACACAUGCAAGUCGAGGGGCAGCAUGGUCUUAGCUUGCUAAGGCCGAUGGCGACCGGCGCACGGGUGAGUAACACGUAUCCAACCUGCCGUCUACUCUUGGACAGCCUUCUGAAAGGAAGAUUAAUACAAGAUGGCAUCAUGAGUCCGCAUGUUCACAUGAUUAAAGGUAUUCCGGUAGACGAUGGGGAUGCGUUCCAUUAGAUAGUAGGCGGGGUAACGGCCCACCUAGUCUUCGAUGGAUAGGGGUUCUGAGAGGAAGGUCCCCCACAUUGGAACUGAGACACGGUCCAAACUCCUACGGGAGGCAGCAGUGAGGAAUAUUGGUCAAUGGGCGAGAGCCUGAACCAGCCAAGUAGCGUGAAGGAUGACUGCCCUAUGGGUUGUAAACUUCUUUUAUAAAGGAAUAAAGUCGGGUAUGGAUACCCGUUUGCAUGUACUUUAUGAAUAAGGAUCGGCUAACUCCGUGCCAGCAGCCGCGGUAAUACGGAGGAUCCGAGCGUUAUCCGGAUUUAUUGGGUUUAAAGGGAGCGUAGAUGGAUGUUUAAGUCAGUUGUGAAAGUUUGCGGCUCAACCGUAAAAUUGUAGUUGAUACUGGAUAUCUUGAGUGCAGUUGAGGCAGGCGGAAUUCGUGGUGUAGCGGUGAAAUGCUUAGAUAUCACGAA